AGCAAGACCAUCACUCUCAUUUUUUAUCUGCUUCCAAAAAACACACCCUACACACCUUUGCCAGUUGAGGAGCUUGAACUCCUUCAAGCUGGCAUGAGAAGACAAACGGUGUCGCUGCCUGACCACAGUGACCAUGCAGAGGUCCUGGCUGAAACAUUCCCAAAAAUGGAAGAUCUUUAUGGGGGAUGGCUCUUUCAUAAAGCAACAGGUUUGUAAGGCCAGGAUUGUGUAUUUUUGUAUCACAUCCCACUCCUGUAGUUGUAAUUUAUUUUAGUUGUACAUAAGGGCUAAUGCUGCACAGGCAUUUAGUUGUAAGCAUUAGAGAUGGCUCGUUGACGAUAAAUAGGUGUAUUUUUAAUUAGAAUAUGUUUGUGUUUCUUACAAUAAAUGUGGCAGUGGUCGACAGAAGCUCACUGUAAUUCCACCAGAAGCAGAGGGUUGUUCUGUAAAAACUCUGAGAGCUCAGUCAGGAGGGGGUAAAGCCACUAUUUACAUAGUGCCACUACAGGAGACAUUAGACACCUCUCCUCUGCCUGCUGACUCGCAGCACUUUUCAAAGAUGCCAAAGAAGACAUGUUAGCAGUGUAAUGAAGUGAUGCCUCUGCAGAUGCUUGCAAUAAAGGAAAAUGACUUUCUGAUGAGAGUGAUGAAGAGCGUGGAAGAUCUAUUACACUUCCUUGAACAACAAGCUGACACCACAACAGAAUUUAAAUUGUGUGUGGACAGAGAAAGCCUUCCAGAGGUAUCCUCCAGUGGCAGAGGAACAAACUGCAUCUGACAUCAGUGCUCUCAAGGUGGUGUACAGAGGAGAGUCAUACAGGAGCACUGAAGAAAGAGUUUGUGACAGAUAUGAUAACAGGUAUCGAAAACAGAUUCUUUGAAGGACCUGGAAGUCAGGGUAAAAAUCCCAGGUACUCUCUGACAGACCUUGAUGAUGAAAACUUCAGAACUGUUGGUGAAAUAAUUGCAGUCAGCCUGGCCCAAGGUGGCCCAGCUCCUGCUUUUUUUUAGGACUGGUGCUACCGUUUCCUGUGCACAGGAGAGGUGGAUUUUAGUAGUUUAUCGAAGGAGGAUGUGGCUGACCAAGAAUCUUCCCUACUCAUCAGCAGAGUGAGCACCUUGUCUAGCACACUGCUACGCUUUUAAUUCACACCUUUCUCUGAACAGUGAACACUUUCAGGUUGAACAUGUGGCUGAUGCAGUUAUAAACUGUGGAUACACAAGCCAGAUCAAGCUGGAUAAUAAACAAAACAUCAUUCAGUAAGAAACAACAACUGUCAUUGAAAUAUUUUUACUUUAGCUUCCGUCAAUUUUCGCCUGAAAUUUCUACUGAGAUGUACAGAAAAUAAAUUGAAUGCUGUUCUUGAACUGUUUGGAGUACAUGCAUGGUUGUGGUCUCAUUUGAAAGCUGACAACCUGAAUUUCCACCCAGUCACUCAGAAUUACUCUAGGUGCUACUGGCACAGAGUAUUUCAUGUUGGAACACACUGAAUUAGGAUGACUUUUAUUCUCGCCUACAUUUUUUCCCUAAUAAAACACCUGAAAAUCAGUGUGGCAGCACUGUGAGAGCUUGAAACACAACAAGGCAACAGCUUGGGGUCUUACAUAGUUCAGAUCAAAAUUUCAGAGCAAUACUACAAGAAAUGAGUGUUUCACACAUGUUUUUGUACUGAUAUGGCCCGGCGCUGUCAAUUUUGGACACCCUCUGUACACCCUGGGCAAAAAUGGUAUAUGUUCGUUUUUCAGCCCGUUUUCACAUUAUUUUCACUUCAAAAACUCAUAAAGAACUCAAAAAAGGCACUUCAGAGCAGCUGCAGUGUGGAUCAGACCCAGAGACUGGGAGAGACAGAGAGGCUGCAGCUGCAGCCAGAGCCGAUGUGUGAAACGUCACAGAACCCUGCUGGCAGAGGCUCUAUUUAUAUCCUGGUAUCCAGCAGCUCAUUGGCUACCGGCCCUGUCAGUCAAACGUUUCCUCCGACGUGAUUUGCUCAGAAUUUACUGACGAAAUGAGGUAGGUCCAGAUCGGUCAGUCUCGGCUACGGUUGGCUGUUUAGGGUUCAGAGGCAGGCCAGAGUCACUUGAUUGGUUGAAAUGUGGUGUAAACAUAAAGGAAAGACUUCAGUCGCCAUUUUGAGUCCAAGACCGCGUGGAUCUCUGUACGCUGAAUAAAAAUAUGAACAUAAAUACAGUGAAUUAUGAAAUGCGCAGCGCCGCGUGUGCGCACACGGAGCCGAGCUAUUUGUGGAUUAUUUACUUAUUUCCAGACAUGUUUUGGACAAAAUAUGAUACUUGCUGGUAUUGUCUGGAUGCCUAAGCUUGGAUUCUGGCCGGUUUUUGUGGAUUAUUUUCAUCUUUGACCAGUAAAAGAGCGUCCAAAGGUGAGUUCUGCCCUUUAAAUGUUUUGUUGUUUGUUGGAGAAAUGUGUUCAUAUUACCCGCUGUGGUAAUCACAUCUGAAAGUGGUUUAUACCGGCGGAUUCAUGAGAAUCUAAGCUUUCCAUCGGCGUAUAGUGUUUGUAUAAUCGUGUUUGCAGCUUCGGACAUUCUUUCGGACAUUCUUUAAAUUGUUAUGGAAAUCUCAAAUGUCCUGCGGGCGGGACACUGAAGCUUUAAACCAGUUUUUGAUUUUUGUGUUCUUUCGUUCAUAGUGCUAUUGUCUUGCACUCUACCACAGACUGAUUCCAAUGCUUCAACAAGUGAGAAAGGCCAUGGAACUGUAUGUUCUGCUCAGUCAGAUGGCUGCAAACCCUGAAGCUUUACACACUUUACUCAAAAUGCUGAUUUCAUAAUGAUGAACUGCCGACCACAGCUCAGUGAAAAGGGGACAUCUCAGGAGAGAACUGAGAGAUUAUAAACAUCAUGCAAGAUUUUUGCCAGGAGCUUGAAAUAUCAGUGCUGCAGCUGAGGAGCCCCACUCUCUUGGAGUUCAGCAUGAAGAGCCCACAUUCCCAUCCUCCCUGAUGAAAAGAGACAUUUCAAAAUGACAUUCAUGUUUGACCACGACUGCAGGG